rnacentral:rRNA from 1 species
CCUACGGGAGGCAGCAGUAAGGAAUCUUUCACAAUGGGCGAAAGCCUGAUGGAGCAACGCCGCGUGCAGGAUGAAGGCCUUCGGGUUGUAAACUGCUUUUAUAAGCGAGAAAUAUGAUGGUAACUUAUGAAUAAGGAUCGGCUAACUACGUGCAAGCAGCCGCGGUCAUACGUAGGAUCCGAGCAUUAUCCGGAUUGACUGGGUGUAAAGAGUUGCGUAGGUGGCAUAAUAAGUAGCUAGUGAAAUCUGGUGGCUAAACCAUUCAGACUAUUAGCUAAACUGUUAAGCUCGAGACCGUUGGGGGUAAAUGGAACUUCUAGUGUAGGAGUGAAAUCCGUAGAUAUUAGAAGGAACACCAAUAGCGUAGGCAGGUUGCUGGGACGGUUCUGACACUAAGGCACGAAAGCGUAGGGAGCAAACGGGAUUAGAUACCCCAGUAGUC